UACGUAGGGUGCAAGCGUUAAUCGGAAUUACUGGGCGUAAAGCGUGCGCAGGCGGUUGUGCAAGACCGAUGUGAAAUCCCCGGGCUUAACCUGGGAAUGGCAUUGGUGACUGCACGGCUAGAGUGUGUCAGAGGGGGGUAGAAUUCCACGUGUAGCAGUGAAAUGCGUAGAGAUGUGGAGGAAUACCGAUGGCGAAGGCCAGCCCCCCUGGGAUAACACUGACGCUCAUGCACAGAAAAGCGUAGGGGGAGCAAACAGG
rnacentral:rRNA from 1 species